rnacentral:rRNA from 1 species
AUUGAACGCUGGCUGCAGGCCUAACACAUGCCAGUCGAGCGGGGCGGCGGACGGGUGAGUAAUGACUAGGAAUGUGCCUGGUCGUGCGGGAGAAUGUCCGGAAAAGGGAGCUAAUACCGACUACUAACUGAUGAGCCUAGGUCGGAGUAGCUAGUUGGUGUGGUACAGGCAUACCAAGGCGACGAUCCGUAACUGGUCUGAGAGGAUGAUCAGGCACACUGGAACUGAGACCCGGUCCAGACUCCUACGGGAGGCAGCAUUGGGAAAUAGUUGACAAUGGGUGAAAGCCGGAUCCAGCCAUGCCGCGUGUGUGAAGAAGGUCUUCGGUUUGUAAAGCACUUUAAGGUGGGAGGCGUUCCCCACAGAAUAAGCACCGGCUAACUUCGCGCCAGCAGCCGCGGUAAUUG